UAUGAGCUUAAAUAAAAAAAAAAAAACUACAUUAUUUUAGAAGCCAUUCUUGGAAAAGCCAAAUCACUAAAAGAAUUUCUUCCUAAAAGCCCAAAUGUUCCUCUUUACAUAUGUUGCAAUAGCUUUCCUCCACCUUUUCCUGCUUGAUUACUCUCCUCCCCCGUUCAAGCCACGUAGCCAUCCUCUCCCACCUCCUCCUUGAAUACCCUCAUCCACCUCCUGCUUAAUUAUCUUUACCAUAAAUUUAGUCCCAAAGUUUCCACCACAUGUACAAUCUACAAUCGCUACCACACAGACAACCUUGAGCAACAAAGCAAGCAUGAUUAUCAGCAAGCAGGUUAUCUCCUCAAGUAGGGUCGGAGCGAGAAAUUCAAGUUAAGGAAAUUAAACGAACGAGGGUGAGCAGUGACGGUGGAGAAUGCUGAGUAGAGUUAUGAUUUUCUUUUUAUUUUAAGUAGAGGCUCUCGGCGGUACACGUCUCUAUACAUGUGACCGUGUUCACUCCGCUGCAUACUAAGGUUCUAGACAACAUUGCUUGUUUUUCUAUACUCUGAUAAAUAUUUAUUGAAGAGUAAGAUUUCCAUUCAA